GAUGAAGAACGCAGCAAAAUGCGAUAAGUAAUGUGAAUUGCAGAAUUCAGUGAAUCAUCGAAUCUUUGAACGCACAUUGCGCCCGCCAGUAUUCUGGCGGGCAUGCCUGUUCGAGCGUCAUUUCAACCCUCAAGCACAGCUUGGUGUUGGGACUCGCGUUAAUUCGCGUUCCUCAAAUUGAUUGGCGGUCACGUCGAGCUUCCAUAGCGUAGUAGUAAAACCCUCGUUACUGGUAAUCGUCGCGGCCACGCCGUUAAACCCAACUUCUGAAUGUUGACCUCGGAUCAGGUAGGAAUACCCGCUGAACUUAAGCAUAUCAAUAAGCGGAGGA
rnacentral:misc_RNA from 1 species